UGUAAGCAACAAAAGGGUGGAUGGGAAUGCGGCUACAUGGUUCUCCAACAUAUGUUUGACUUUGUCAAUUUGUAUCAAAACCAAUUUCCCGAUGAAAUGUGGCACGACACCAGAGAGGCUACGGAUAAUGAAAUAGAUGUUUUGUUGAUGACGUUGAUGCCGAAGUUUUUUAGCGAGUUAGGUAUUCCGUUAGUUUCGCUUAUGUGUAGUUUGUUAUGUAUUCACAAAUGAUUGUAAUUUGACGGGUUUAUUUCUGAA